rnacentral:lncRNA from 1 species
CUUGCCAAUUGUCUGUUAACUAGUAGGUUUAAAAAUUGGGUCUCUGGGAACUACUACUCUCAAAUAUUGCCCCUUUCUUAUUCAUUGCAUAUUUUAUGGAUCCAUCCUCAUAAAACUGUAGUUCAUAAGGCCCCACCAAUGGGCGGUAUACAUAAGCUCAAAGCCAAAGUAUUUCCUAAGAUGGCACAGUAAAAACAGUAGCUAUAUGGCAUUCCUCCUCCACCCCUAAUAAACCUGGGGCACAUUCCCACAAAUGUACACACCAUCAGGAGAAAAAUAGCUGUAAACACUAAUAAGGAGGCACCCAUGAAGGGCACACAGGGGGCCAAGGACACAUGAGUAGAGCAGAGGUGUCAAACAUACUGAGUGCCAAGGAAUCAGAUUAAAAUGGCAUUGGGAAAUAGCUAACAAAAGAAAUUAAAUGCCCUAUCACAUAGAUAAUGCAUCGGUUUUUUGCUAUGCAGCCUGCAGGCAUCCUCCUUAUAUAGAGAUAUGACCCCUGAUUUGAAUUUAACACCUCUAAUAUCUUUUCUCUUCCUCUGGCAUCCUUAUGCUCCUUCCCCCUGAGGGCAAUAAUAUCUCCUUAAGCGGAGGGGACAGAGAAACCAAAUUCCCACCCUAACCAUCACCUCAACAGCAAGAUCCCAGAGGAUGAUUUUAUCCUUUUGAGGAUGAAUCAGCAUGAUUGAACAUGACUUUUACUUGGAGAACGUAAAUGAGACAUCCAUUCCGCCCCCUCCAAGUCAGCCCGGCCCGCUAACGUCGGAUUCCAUCCUUAAUGCCUCUCUCCUACUGACUCAUCCUAGCCAGCCCGCAGUACUUCUGUCCGGGCUCGCAUUUCGGCUGCCUUCUCUUCUCUGCUACUGCCAUCCCCUGGUCAUUGCACCGCCCGACUCAGGUUCGCACUGCCAGUUGUUCUUCCUGCCCCGAGGCGCUCUCUGCUGCACUCCAUUGCCCGAGGGACCUUCCGGAAGUGCAUGUGGAUUCAACGAGCUCCGGGGAUGUCCCGCGACCUCCAGCAUCCAAUAUAAACCACUCCCGUUGUCAGUUGCGCCCCCCACAGCCCACCCCUUCCUUCCCUCUCAGGCUUUCCCAUCCCGCCGCAGUGGCGUCGCUGCUCCUCGCGUUAGGAAGGGGCAGAUGAGAACAAUGUUCCAGUGGCCAUAA